rnacentral:rRNA from 1 species
GAUGAACGCUGGCGGCGUGCCUAAUACAUGCAAGUCGAGCGAACAGACGAGGAGCUUGCUCCUCUGACGUUAGCGGCGGACGGGUGAGUAACACGUGGAUAACCUACCUAUAAGACUGGGGUAACUUCGGGAAACCGGAGCUAAUACCGGAUAAUAUAUUGAACCGCAUGGUUCAAUAGUGAAAGACGGUUUUGCUGUCACUUAUAGAUGGAUCCGCGCCGCAUUAGCUAGUUGGUAAGGUAACGGCUUACCAAGGCGACGAUGCGUAGCCGACCUGAGAGGAUGACCGGCCACACUGGAACUGAGACACGGUCCAGACUCCUACGGGAGGCAGCAGUAGGGAAUUUUCCGCAAUGGGCGAAAGCCUGACGGAGCAACGCCGCGUGAGUGAUGAAGGUCUUCGGAUCGUAAAACUCUGUUAUUCGGGAAGAACAAAUGUGUAAGUAACUAUGCACGUCUUGACGGUACCUAAUCAGAAAGCCACGGCUAACUACGUG